rnacentral:rRNA from 1 species
GAUGAACGCUGGCGGCGUGCCUAAUACAUGCAAGUCGAGCGAACGGACGAGAAGCUUGCUUUUCUGAUGUUAGCGGCGGACGGGUGAGUAACACGUGGAUAACCUACCUAUAAGACUGGGAUAACUUCGGGAAACCGGAGCUAAUACCGGAUAAUAUUUUGAACCGCAUGGUCAAAAGGGAAAGGGGGGCCUUGUUUCAAGUAAUGGUGGAUCCGCGCUGCAUUUGCCAGUUUGUGAGGUAACGGCUUACCCAGGCAACGAUGCAUAGCCGACCUGAGAGGGUGAUCGGCCACACUGGAACUGAGACACGGUCCAGACCCCUACGGGAGGCAGCAGUAGGGAAUCUUCCGCAAUGGGCGAAAGCCUGACGGAGCAGCGCCGCGUGAGUGAUGAAGGUCUUCGGAUCGUAAAACUCUGUUAUUAGGGAAGAACAUAUGUGUAAGUAACUGUGCACAUCUUGACGGUACCUAAUCAGAAAGCCACGGCUAACUACGUG